UGGUCUCAACCGGUUUAAACUGGACAGGAGUUGCUCCAGGUUACUGAAAAACAACUGAAGCGACCGUUACCAUGGUGCCUUAUAGACGUUAUCUACAAGGUCGCCGGUAAGGGUUAAGUUCUAAUGUUCAGCGGAGCGGCCCUCAGCUUCACAGGGGAAAAAAAAUCACAAAAAGACAGCGGCCAAAAGCAAGCAGGGCAGGGUCUCAGAGUAAGUUUGCUUCCUAGGUGUUCACUGAAGCCCUUCAGGCUGGGUUAAGAACAGAUCCCUGCAAGCUGACACUUUGACCAGUUGCAAAGGCGUAGGACCACGUGGCCUAAUGGAUAAGGCGUCUGACUUCGGAUCAGAAGAUUGAGGGUUCGAAUCCCUUCGUGGUUGAUUCUCCAUUUUUCACUCUCAAGCAACACUGCACAACCUCCCACACCACCAAAUUGUAGCAUCCAAUUAAUUUCGGAAAGUGAACGUGAAUUCUCUGCAGUCCUUUCCCGUGGAAAUGGGAAGUUGCAUCACACACCUCUUUGGAGUUGCGAGUGAUUCAGGUGGGGCCAGCACACCACCUUUCAGCUGUUUGUACUUUGGAGGAAGCGCUUGGCCAGGCUGGCACACAGCUGCCUGGAGUCCGGGGUGGGAUGGGGAAAGCGUGCGCCCUGGUCCAGGAGUAUCCUCUUCCCGCCUGUUGAAUGGGCUCAGUGAACUCAGUUGAGUGCAUCUUAAGGAGCUUUAUUCACCUGGUCCCGCAGGGGGCGACCAUCACGUUUCCUCUGGUCCUCAGUAGGCGCUCGGUUACAAGUUUGACUCGCAGACACACAGUUUAAAUAUCAGUUUAAACAUCAGUUUAAAUCAGUUAAAUAUCAGUUAAAUAUUUAAAUCAGUUAAAUAUCAGUUUAAAUAUCGCCCCCUUUCUAAAAUUUAGAGGAGCCGAAGAAACACACGUCUUAAAACCUGCUCAUGAUUCAAGUGGACGUGGUCGUUGAACGGAAGCGUUCUUUC